rnacentral:rRNA from 1 species
AUGUCUGGGAAACUGCCUGAUGAGGGGGAUAACUACUGGAAACGGUAGCUAAUACCGCAUAACGUCGCAAGACCAGAGAGGGGGACCUUCGGGCCUCUUGCCAUCGGAUGUGCCCAGAUGGGAUUAGCUAGUAGGUGGGGUAACGGCUCACCUAGGCGACGAUCCCUAGCUGGUCUGAGAGGAUGACCAGCCACACUGGAACUGAGACACGGUCCAGACUCCUACGGGAGGCAGCAUG